rnacentral:rRNA from 1 species
ACAAGCAGCCAAAUCGCUCUGCAACUCACAACUGGCAACCCUUUGAAGUUAAGCAGGAGUGAGCCUGGUCAGUACCUGGAUAAGAGACCUCCUGGAAAAAACUAAGGUUGCUGCUGGAA